UACGUAGGCAGCGAGCGUUGUUCGGAAUUACUGGGCGUAAAGAGUGUGUAGGCGGUGCUCCCAGUCUGUUGUGAAAUCUCCCGGCUUAACUGGGAGGGUGCAGCGGAAACUAGAGUGCUAGAGGGUGGGAGAGGUAAGCGGAAUUCCUGGUGUAGCGGUGAAAUGCGUAGAUAUCAGGAGGAACACCUGUGGUGUAGACAGCUUACUGGACCACUUCUGACGCUGAGACACGAAAGCGUGGGUAGCAAACAG
rnacentral:rRNA from 1 species